rnacentral:snRNA from 1 species
AUCGCUUCUCGGCCUUUUGGCUAAGAUCAAGUGUAGAAUGACGGGGAAAUAAGAUUUCUGAAAGGCUCAUUGUGCUAUUAGCAGUUAAAUUAUAUCUUUUUAAAAAUAUGUGUGCUUUUUUAGACUCAUUGAGCUGAUGAAUUAAUUGUUGCAAGGACUAUUGUGUGAUUAGAAAGGAU